GCCAGCAGCUACAUCACCCUGCAACUCACAACUAGCAGCCCACUGAAGCUAAGCAUGUGUGAGCCUGGUCAGUACCUGGAUGGGAGACCUCCUGGGAAAAACUAAGGUUGCUGCCGGAA
rnacentral:rRNA from 1 species